UACGAAGGGGGGCUAGCGUUGUUCGGAAUCACUGGGCGUAAAGGGCGCGUAGGCGGCUGUUCAAGUCGGGGGGUGAAAGCCCGAGGCUCAACCUCGGAACUGCCUUCGAUACUGCGGGUCUCGAGUCCGGGAGAGGUGAGUGGAAUUCCUAGUGUAGAGGUGAAAUUCGUAGAUAUUAGGAAGAACACCAGUGGCGAAGGCGGCUCAGCUGGCCCGGUACUGACGCGUGAGGUGCGAAAGGCGUGGGGAGCAAACAGG
rnacentral:rRNA from 1 species